CAAAGUGCUGGGAUUACAGGUGUGAGCCACUGCACCCAGCCGAGAUUUGUUCACUUUUCUGAGGUAACUCUAUUGUAUUUAAAAGACAUGGUUGCAUACAUUGAAAGUGAGUAUAGAAGGAAAUAAAUCUGGACUCUUGAGAUGAAGCUAAGGAAUCAUCAUUGUUUGAUGUUAGUCUUCUAAUCCAUUGAAAAAUCUUUCUAUGAAAAGUGUUUUCAGAAAUGGAGUAGAGACCAAUAAAGCUGUGGUGCUACAGCUUUCUUGAUUUCCUCUUGGUAUCUUAAAAGGGUGAGUAAUUCAAUCCAGUUUAAUGAGUAUUGGCUACUGGGUAUUUUUCAGUAUCAUAAACGCUGUGUUUUGCAAGUUUUUUUUUUUUUUAACUCAGCAAAUUAUUUCGAUGGAAUUUUAAGUUGUCAAAAAUGUUCUUUAAUUGAACCUAGCAAAUCUUUAUUGAGUACCCCUUGUAUAUUGAAAAGGGGUAUACAAAAAUUAAUGAUAAGUAGUCUUAAUAGCAGGCAACUAAUUAUAAUACAAUAUGAUUGGUGCUGCUAUGGAAGGAAACGCUCUAGAAUUUUGUUUGUUUACAUAUACUUGAAAAUAAAAAUGCUUGAGGAAUAAAUGCUUGAGACGAUAAAAAUGGAAGAAGAAAACACAUAUUACAGGAAAGAGCAAUGAACAAUGGCACCAUGGUUUAAAUGUACAUGAUGUUGGGGGAAUGACUAAAAUAUGUAGGGUAUACGUGAGCAUGGUCAAAAGCUGGCUAGAGACAGGCUGAUGAUGGGUCUUUAGUGCUAGAGACUUCAUUAUGAACAGUAUCAGUAGCUCAAAGAGGUUUAUAAAGUAAUGACAAGAUUAACUUUGUUUUUAAUGAUCUACUUGAGACACCGGAAGGUAAUCAAGUAGAAAAAAAGAACAAUUCUUGGCCCCUCUUUAGCAGGUAUGUUCUAAAAAUGACAGCUAAUUUGAAUACUAACUUCUCGAAAAUACAGAUAGGAAGACAAAUCUUCUAAAGACCAAAUCCACCUCUACUCAACUUAAUGGCUUUGUAUCAGCUGUACUAUGACCCCCUCUCAUUCUCUUGGACGAUGGGGAGAUGAACGCAUUGGUAAUGAAAUACCCAUCAGUCCUCAACCACAUCCCUAUUUUAAAACUGAAUUUGCACAAUAGCUUUUUGAAAGGCCUGUCAGUGCUGCACUGUCGCCUCUGUCGCACUUCUCUGUGGGAGCUGACAUUUUGCUGGUACUUCAUCAGGCUGGACCACCUGCUGAGAGCCAGAUUGAAUUCUACAAUCCUGAAUGCUUCUUAUUAAGAUAUAACUGCCCUGGGGAAAAUAGAAACGCACCAGAAGAUGUCAAAUUGUAA